rnacentral:rRNA from 1 species
UGGCACCUCGAUGUCGGCUCAUCGCAUCCUGGGGCUGGAGCAGGUCCCAAGGGUUUGGCUGUUCGCCAAUUAAAGCGGUACGCGAGCUGGGUUCAAAACGUCGUGAGACAGUUUGGUCCCUAUCUGUUGUGGGCGCAGGAUAUUUGAGAGGAUCUGUCCUUAGUACGAGAGGACCGGGAUGGACGAACCUCUAGUGUGCCAGUUGUUCCGCCAGGGGCAAUGCUGGGUAGCUAUGUUCGGAAGGGAUAACCGCUGAAAGCAUCUAAGCGGGAAGCCCACCUCAAGAUUAGAUAUCCCGGGGAGUAAUCCCCCUGAAGACCCGUGGAAGACCACCACGUUGAUAGGCUGGAUGUGUAAGUGCAGUAAUGUAUUUAGCUAACCAGUACUAAUCGGUCGUGAGGCUUGACCAU